ensembl:lncRNA
GGGUUGAAGACAAAACAAGUCGUUUCCAAAACCUGAUCAGAACUCAUCUCAGAUGUCCAUUAAAUUUCAUACACAUUGAAGCUUUUAAGGCUUAGCAAAAAUUAAUUUGGAACUUGAAGAUCAAAAGAUUAUCAUCUGAAUAUAAUGUCUACUGGUUAGCAUCUCAGAAAACUGUGAAAAUGUGUUUGGCUAUGGCCAGGCGAAUUCUUCAGCAAACCUGACAAUAAAAGCAUAUAAAUCCCUUACAGGGAAACAAAUGUUGUAUUAUACUUUGGGAUUAUAUACUUAGGGCUAGCUCUAGUACCAGCUACAAGUACCUAGUCUUUAUGCUUCUGCCUUGUCUCCUUCCCAGCCCCAGGAAUGCAGUGGCCUGAUGGCAGCACCCAAAGGCAGCUGGUCCUCAGUGGCCACUUGGAGCUGCCUGGUUUCCUCAGUCAAUACCAAAGCUGCAGGACAGCUGUGGUUGGAGCGGCACCAUUGGACACAGCAUCUGACCUGGGACAUCAUAACUGAGUUCACUCACACUACGGAGCUAUUAUGCCAUCAUGAGAACCAGUCUGAACUGCGUCAUUUUGAAGCCAGCCAGCCAAGUUUGAGGAUGUAUCUCUGCCAUCCCAGAGACACCAGCAUCUCAAAUAUGGUAUUUGAAUACAAGAUUAUGCCACCUAUUACGCACACAUUGGCUGACAUUCAAGCUAUUGAGAAGUAAGAGCAACUUGUUCCCAUUGGUCUUCCUGUAUGAGCUUCUGAAUUACUCACCAUCAUCCAGAAAGUGGUAAAAUUGUAUUUAUGACUACUAUAUAAAAUUCAAACAAGACCUUUAUUUACAUUAGGUUUUCAAGCAGUGGGUAUUGCAACAUACAUAACAAAAUUUCAUACUACAUUUUUUAUAGGCAAUCAGGUUGAAAAACUGAUCUACAGAAUCAAUUUGUCAAAACUGGCUAAGCAGAAAAUGUGUCAACUCGGCUUAAGAGUACUUUGUCAAUUUUACACCAUUUUCUGUCAUUCAGAGUAUUUCUGAUGUCCUGGUUAUAAAAACAGAAUGCUCAUGCAGGUUAAUUUACAGUGAACUCUCUAGUAAAUUUUGUGUUCUUCACUUGUUCAGAAGAGCAUAUCAAUAUUCUCCCCACCUUGUCUCACAAAGCAAUUAUGGGUCCAGAUAGGGAGAAAACUCAAUCAGGAGAUUUUUAACAGAAAAAAAAAAAAAAAAAAAAGGCUUUAGCAAGACAAGGAGUCAGAAGUUCCAUUCUGUGGGUAACUCAAUUAGAAUCUCUCAUUCUGUAGAAAACAAGUUGUACUGUAAAUAUUAAUCAAGUUCUUUUAUUUCAUACUAACAUUAUGCAGCAACCAAUACGAGUUUCUAGGUAAACAGAGACUUUGUGAAAUGUUUUGCUGCAAAGCUGACCAGUAAUGCACGCAAAUGAUAAAGUCAUCAACUCUGCUUACUGCCAGAAAUUAAAAAAAAAAAGGCUUCAGGAGCAAGUAACACUGAUCCAUACUGUACUGUGCUCAAGCACUAGUCAACAAAAUCUAUUAAACUACAUGGGAGGAAAAAAAAAAUCAGAGCAGCUUUGUUAUCUUACUUGUGACACCUUAUUUAAAUUUCAGGCAUUACUUUUUAUAUCAGCAUAAAUAUGUAGCCUUCUACAGGUUUUAUGAUGUGGUUACAGACAUAAAAAUGUUAUAGUAGAAAGCAAGAGCUAGUUCAAGGAAUUUCAGACUUUGAAAUCAGCAAGAUACAAAGCUAAAAUUCAUAUGUUCCUUUUCAAGUUAUGAAUACUUUCACUAAAACAUAAAUAUUUUAACAUAUAUUAUUUUUUUUCUGACAUUCAAAAUUGUAAAGUCAAUAUGGCAGAAUUAUUGUUAAAAGCACAUAUUUACAAAUAUUCUUUUUUCCAUACAUAAAGUAUUUGGCAUAAUUAUAACAAUCUUACUGCAUACACAACUGUUUGCUUCUUUUUCACAUAAUGGUACACUCCUUAUUAAAAUUUACCAAUUAUGUACAAAAAUACUUGAACAUUUAUUAUAGAAAACUUCUAUAACUACUGUCAACAGCUUGUAACUGCUGAAGGUUUAAUUGAGAGAAUAUAAAAAAGUGGUCACUUUCUUCCAGUUAAACUAUCAACAAAUCAAACACAGCUAAGAUCAACAUGAGCUUCCCAACAAAAGAGGGAGAAUAUUUUUAACAAUAUGAUUUAAAAUGCAGUUCACACAUCUGUUCCCAAGCACAUUUAAACAGUCAAUAAAAGAAAGAGGAUACAAAACA